rnacentral:rRNA from 1 species
UACGUAGGGGGCAAGCGUUGUCCGGACUCAUUGGGCGUAAAGAGCGUGUAGGCGGCCAGAUAAGUCCGCUGUGAAAUCUCGAGGCUCAACUUCGAGCUGUCGGUGGAAACUGUCUGGCUAGAGUCCGGAAGAGGAGAAUGGAAUUCCCGGUGUAGCGGUGAAAUGCGCAGAUAUCGGGAAGAACACCCGUGGCGAAGGCGGCUCUCUGGGACGGUACUGACGCUGAGACGCGAAAGCGUGGGGAGCGAACAGG